rnacentral:misc_RNA from 1 species
GAUGAAGAACGUAGCGAAAUGCGAUACGUAAUGUGAAUUGCAGAAUUCAGUGAAUCAUCGAGUCUUUGAACGCACAUUGCGCCCCCUGGUAUUCCGGGGGGCAUGCCUGUCCGAGCGUCAUUGCUGCCCUCAAGCACGGCUUGUGUGUUGGGCCUCCGUCCUCCUCCCGGGGGACGGGCCCGAAAGGCAGCGGCGGCACCGCGUCCGGUCCUCGAGCGUAUGGGGCUACGUCACCCGCUCUUGUAGGCCCGGCCGGCGCUUGCCGACACAUCAAUCUUUUUUCCAGGUUGACCUCGGAUCAGGUAGGGAUACCCGCUGAACUUAAGCAUAUCAAUAAGCGGAGGA